rnacentral:rRNA from 1 species
AAAGUUCUAUAUGGGAUACGGAUGAUGACCAUUUUCUAUAUAAAAGUCUUGACUAAAACACGUGCCAGCAGUCGCGGUAACACGGGACAGACUAGUGUUAUUCAUCUUUAAUAGGUUUAAAGGGUACCUAGACGGCAAAUUUAGCCCCCACUGAGCUGGGAUGGUACAUUUUUGCUAGAGUUUUAUAUGAGAGGGAUUUAGUACUAACAGAGUAGAGAUGAAAUUCUUUGAUACUGUAGGGCACUGAUAACGGCGAAGGCAGACCUUUAUGUAAAAACUGACGUUGAGGGACGAAGGCUUGGGUAACAAACAGGAUUAGGUACCCUAAUAGUCCAAGCAGAGACUGAUGAGUGCCAUAGAUUAGAAUAUGUUUGAUCUAUAAAUGAAAGUGAAAGCACUCCACUUAAGAGUAAUGCGGCAACGCAGGAACUGAAAUCAUUAGACCGUUUCUGAUACCAGUAGUGAAGUAUGUUGUUUAAUUCGAUGACCCACGAAAAAUCUUACCACAAUUUGAAUAUUAUAGCAACAAUAGGAAAGUCUUUUAACACGGUGGCAACACCGUUUAAUAUGAUGAAAGUGCUAAUAAUACAGGUGUUGCAUGGCUGUCUUCAGUUUAUGUCGUGAGAUGCGGGUUAGCUCCUACUAAAUAAACGUGAACCCUUACUUUAUUUUAGUUAGCAAUUGCUAAUUACAUAGAGUAGCUGUCUGAUACGUCAGACAAAUAACAGGGACCAAGACAAGUCCUCAUGGCCCGAACAUUGUGGGCUAUAGACGUGCCACA